GACGAACGCUGGCGGCGUGCUUAACACAUGCAAGUCGAACGAAGUGGCGAACGGGUGAGUAACGCGUAAUCAACCUGCCCUUCAGAGGGGGACAACAGUUGGAAACGACUGCUAAUACCGCAUACUGAAGGAGGGGAUUGCGUCUGAUUAGCUAGUUGGAGGGGGAACGGCCUACCAAGGCGAUGAUCAGUAGGCUGUCUGAGAGAAUGAACGGCCACACUGGGACGGAGACACGGCACAGACUCCUACGGGAGGCAGCAGUGGGGAAUCUUCCGCAAUGGACGAAAGUCUGACGGAGCAACGCCGCGUGAGUGAUGACGGCCUUCGGGUUGGAAUGCUCUGUUAAUCGGGACGCGGUACCGGAAGAGAAAGCCACGGCUAACUACGGGCCAGCAGCAGCGGUAAUAC
rnacentral:rRNA from 1 species